rnacentral:rRNA from 1 species
GAUGAACGCUGGCGGCGUGCCUAACACAUGCAAGUCGAGCGAGAUAAAUGUGAGUGGAGACUUCGGUCAAAGCGAUCAUUUUGAAAGCGGCGGACGGGUGAGUAACGCGUGAGCAAUCUGCCCCAUACAAAGGGAUACCCACUGGAAACGGUGAUUAAUACCUUAUAAGACCACGAAGUCGCCUGGCUUAGUGGCCAAAGAUUUAUCGGUAUGGGAUGAGCUCGCGUCUGAUUAGCUAGUUGGUGAGGUAAUGGCUCACCAAGGCGACGAUCAGUAGCCGACCUGAGAGGGUGAACGGCCACACUGGAAGUGAGACACGGUCCAGACUCCUACGGGAGGCAGCAGUGGGGAAUAUUGCACAAUGGGCGCAAGCCUGAUGCAGCAACGCCGCGUGAAUGAUGAAGGCCUUCGGGUCGUAAAGUUCUGUCCUAAGGGAAGAAUACAGUGACGGUACCUUAGGAGGAAGCCCCGGCUAACUACGUGCCAGCCGCCGCAGUAA